rnacentral:rRNA from 1 species
UACGUAGGGGGCAAGCGUUGUCCGGAAUCAUUGGGCGUAAAGAGCGUGUAGGCGGUUCGGUAAGUCGGCUGUGAAAGUCCAGGGCUCAACCCUGGGAUGCCGGUCGAUACUGCCGGACUAGAGUUCGGAAGAGGAGAGUGGAAUUCCUGGUGUAGCGGUGAAAUGCGCAGAUAUCAGGAGGAACACCCGUGGCGAAAGCGGCUCUCUGGGACGGUACUGACGCUGAGGCGCGAAAGCGUGGGGAGCAAACAGG